AUGACAAUCUCAGAGGCUGAGUCCUCGCACAGCACAGGGAGAAGCAGUACAGGCUUCCCCCACAUUGCCCUGUUUACACACCUCAAUCCUGACCUAGAAGGAGCACCUCUAUGGGUGAAGGGGAAGUCCAUUCAACAUGGGCCAUUAAGUCCUUGGGCUGGC
rnacentral:sRNA from 1 species